rnacentral:rRNA from 1 species
GGUAUUUUUACUAUACGAAGGUAUUGAAAUAAGGCUUUAAUUGGGUGCUAAAAGAAUGGUUAAACAGGAAGAGACUUUCUUUUUAUUUAUAAUAAAAUUUGAUUUAAAAAUGAAAAAGUUUUUAUAUAUUUUUGGGACAAGAAGACCCUAUGAAUUUUUUUUAUAAGUUUAUUUGUAAUUUUUUAAAUUAAAUAAAGUAAAAAUAUAAGUUGGUUGGGGUGAUUUUUAAAGAAUAUAUAUCUUUAAAAUGAAGUAAUUAGAACCAAAAAUUUUGGUUAUUUGAUUAAAAUACUCUAGGGAUAACAGCGUAAUUAUUUUGGAUAGUUCAUAUAGAUAAAAUAGUUUGCGACCUCGAUGUUGGAUUAAGAUACUUUUAUAAUGUAGCAGUUAUAUAAAGGAGUUUGCUCAACUUUUAAAAUCUU